AUUGAACGCUGGCGGCAGGCCUAACACAUGCAAGUCGGACGGUAGCACAGAGGAGCUUGCUCCUCGGGUGACGAGUGGCGGACGGGUGAGUAAUGUCUGGGGAUCUGCCCGAUAGAGGGGGAUAACCACUGGAAACGGUGGCUAAUACCGCAUAACGUCGCAAGACCAAAGAGGGGGACCUUCGGGCCUCUCACUAUCGGAUGAACCCAGAUGGGAUUAGCUAGUAGGCGGGGUAAUGGCCCACCUAGGCGACGAUCCCUAGCUGGUCUGGAAGGAUGAGCAGCCACACUGGACAUGAGACACGGUCCAGACUCCUACGGGAGGCAGCAGUGGGGAAUAUUGCAAAAUGGGCGCAAGCCUAAUGCAGCCAUGCCGCGUGUAUGAAGAAGGCCUUCGGGUUGUAAAGUACUUUCAGCGGGGAGGAAGGCGGUGAGGUUAAUAACCUUGCCGAUUGACGUUACCCGCAGAAGAAGCACCGGCUAACUCCGUGCCAGCAGCCGCAGUAA
rnacentral:rRNA from 1 species